rnacentral:rRNA from 1 species
CCUACGGGGGACAGCAGUGAGGAAUAUUGGUCAAUGGGCGCGAGCCUGAACCAGCCAAGUAGCGUGAAGGAUGACUGCCCUACGGGGUGUAAACUUCUUUUAUAAAGGAAUAAAGUGAGGCACGUGUGCCUGUUUGUAUGUACUUUAGGAAUAAGGAUCGGCAAACUCCGUGCCAGCAGCCGCGGUAAUACGGAGGAUCCGAGCGUUAACCGGAUUUAUGGGGUUUAAAGGGAGCGUAGAUGGGUUGUUAAGUCAGUUGGGAAUGUUUGCGGCUCAACCGUAAAAUUGCAAUUGAUACUGGCAGUCUUGAGUACAGAUGAGGUAGGCGGAAUUCGUGGUGUAGCGGUGAAAUGCUUAGAUAUCACGAAGAACUCCGAUUGCGAAGGCAUCUUACUAAACUGCCACUGACAUUGAUGCUCGAAAGUGUGGGUAUCAAACAGGAUUAGAUACCCCGGUAGUC